CCAGACUCCUACGGGAGGCAGCAGUGAGGAAUAUUGGUCAAUGGGCGAGAGCCUGAACCAGCCAAGUCGCGUGAGGGAUGACUGCCCUAUGGGUUGUAAACCUCUUUUGUAUGGGGGGAAUAAGCUUUACGAGUAGAGUGAUGACAGUACCAUACGAAUAAGCAUCGGCUAACUCCGUGCCAGCAGCCGCGGUAAUACGGAGGAUGCGAGCGUUAUCCGGAUUUAUUGGGUUUAAAGGGUGCGUAGGCGGAACAUUAAGUCAGCGGUAAAAUCGAGGGGCUCAACCCCUUUAAGCCGUUGAAACUGGUGAUCUUGAGUGGGCGAGAAGUAUGCGGAAUGCGUGGUGUAGCGGUGAAAUGCAUAGAUAUCACGCAGAACUCCGAUUGCGAAGGCAGCAUACCGGCGCCCGACUGACGCUGAGGCACGAAAGCGUGGGGAUCGAACAGGAUUAGAUACCCUGGUAC
rnacentral:rRNA from 1 species